rnacentral:misc_RNA from 1 species
AUACUCUUCGGAAAUGUUGGAUAGGUACGAGUAGUCGCGCAAAAGUUUAUUAUAAAAUUUCGCAUUUCUCACCUGUUUACCUUGUUUACAUACUAGAAAUAGUAGUACUAUGUCUAUGCUUGGCGCACAAAAUUCCACACAGUGAGUAGAAUAAAAGGGUCUCACAGUGACACUCUAGCAGAAAAUCAUAUUUAGGUCAGUGCCAGCCAAUAUGCCAUGUAAACUGAUAAUUAAUGCAGAUGACUUUGGCUACUGCACAGACAGAAAUAGAGGAAUAUUAGAAGCCUUUAAAGAUGGAGCUAUAACAAGUGCAACUGUCCUCAUCAAUGCAAGAGAUACUUCAGAGGCAAUCACCAUAGCAACACAGCAUAACAUUCCCAUAGGUCUCCAUCUUAACCUUACUGAGGGUUACCCAGUGUCAGUCACGUCAAGGUCACUCACUGAUCCCAGCUCUGGGGCCUUCUUAGGAAAAUCUGGAAUCCGAGAGGCCCUUUUAGAAAAUAAAAUCAAUUUUGAUGAAGUGAAGGAUGAGAUCGAGGAACAAAUAAAGUUGUUUGUUGAUCUGAAAGGGGAAUUACCAACUCAUAUGGAUGGCCACCAGCACGUUCAAGUACUACCAGGUAUAUGUGGAACAUUAGCAGAGUGUAUGGUUAAAUAUGGUAUCAAAAAGACGAGAGUUCCUUAUGAAGUUGUACUCGGUUCUAGCGGAUGGAUUGACAAGCCUCAGUUUCAGUUCUAUCAAAGUGUCAACAAAGAUGCUGAGUUGGCGGAAUCUGUUUUCAGAAACAAAGGAAUAAACUUUACACAUGGAUUUGUUGGCAUGACAACUAUGGGUUCUGAUAUGACAACUGAGAGGCUGAAACAUGCAAUACAAACAACAUGGCAACAACUUCAUCAAGAAAACAAUGAUGCUCAAAAAUUUCAACAGGAAUAUACUGUUGCUCAAAAGGAUAAUCCAAUUCAGGAUGACAUAUUUAUAGAGCUUAUGGUUCACGUUGGAUACCCAAGUAAUCAAAGUAACAUCAUUUGGAGUUCAAUGCAGAACAAAAAUGGCGUCACAUACAAGAAUGAACCAAUCAGAAACAAGAAUGAUGGUCCUGAUGAGUUUUCUUUAUCAGCCGAUCGAAUUCAUGAAAAAAAUAUUUUAUCCAGUAAAAACAUGAAAGAGUUUUACAAAGAUAACAACAUUGAAAUGGCUUCAUUCAUUGACCUCAUAUAGCACUGUUAGUACUUCAAAGUAUAACACUUCAAAGGAAUACAUGUACUUUCAUUCAGUUUUGAUUGAUAAAAGAAAGAAAGGUCAAUAGUUUUGACUGUUGACUAUUAGAAAAAGUGACAUUAAUAUCACUUUUUUUAAAUGUAAAAAAUGAACCUCACAUUACAUUGAUUACAGUGCCAUCUAUCAUAUAAAAAUGGCAAAACCAGCAAACAUAUGUUGAUAAUUUUUUAAAUAUUUAUUAGCAUAUGGGUAUUAUACACAGACUUGGGGCAAACUGUACACAUCAGUGCCAUCUAUUAGCAAUACUUUACAACUUUAUACAAAAGCAAACACAGCUUUAAAUUACCAGUGGUGUGCUAGAAGUUCGACCCAGUUUAAGGAAACAUUUUGAAAUUUUAAAAAUAAAUAUUCAGGGGAGCGUUUCCUAAUUUUUGAACUAGGAAAUAACUAAACCUUUUUGUGACCAUGAAAAUCAUGAUGUCAUAUAUUAACCUAAUUUUUGAUCAACAUACCCCUGAUUAUUUCAAGUUGAAACAAGGGCAAAUGAUACAACAAAAGGUUCAGAUAUAAAAAACAUAGGUAUUUUGAAGCA